rnacentral:rRNA from 1 species
GACGAACGCUGGCGGCGUGCUUAACACAUGCAAGUCGAACGGAAAGGCCCUGCUUUUUUGGGGUUCUCUUUUUGCGAUCGUGUGAGUAUCACUUGAGUCACCUGCCCUUGACUUUGUUAUAUCUUCAGGUAACUUGGGCUAAUACCUGAUAGGAUCUCCUGCUGCUUGUUGUGGUUUGGUUAGUUUCGGCGGUUGGGGAUGGACUCGCGGGUUAUCAGCUUUUUGGUGGGGUAGUGGCUUACCAAGGCUUUGACGGGUAGCCGGCAUGAGAGGGUGACCGGAGACAUGGGGACUGAGAGACGGCCAAGACUACUACGGGAGGAAGCAGUGGGGAAUAUGGCACAAUGGGCGGAAGACUGAGGCAGCAACGCCGCGUGCGGGAUGACGGCCUGCGGGUUGUAAACCGCUUUAGAAGGUGAAGAAGAGUGAGUGACGGUAAUGGGUAAAGAAGCACCGGCUAACUACGUG